rnacentral:rRNA from 1 species
GUGCACGAGGACACGCUGGCGGCGUGCCUAAUACAUGCAAGUCGAGCGGGCUUGUCCUUCGGGACAAGCUAGCGGCGGACGGGUGAGUAACACGUAGGUAACCUGCCUUUAAGACUGGGAUAACUAUCGGAAACGAUAGCUAAGACCGGAUAACUGGUUUUCUCGCAUGAGAGAAUCAUAAAACACGGAGCAAUCUGUGGCUUAAAGAUGGGCCUGCGGCGCAUUAGCUAGUUGGUGAGGUAACGGCUCACCAAGGCGACGAUGCGUAGCCGACCUGAGAGGGUGAACGGCCACACUGGGACUGAGACACGGCCCAGACUCCUACGGGAGGCAGCAGUAGGGAAUCUUCCGCAAUGGACGCAAGUCUGACGGAGCAACGCCGCGUGAGUGAUGAAGGUUUUCGGAUCGUAAAGCUCUGUUGCCCUAGACGAACAGCAUCAGGAGUAACUGCCUGGUGUGUGACGGUAUAGGAGAAGAAAGCCCCGGCUAACUACGUG